AUUGAACGCUGGCGGCAGGCCUAACACAUGCAAGUCGAGCGAGCGGCGGACGGGUGAGUAAUGUCUGGGAAACUGCCUGAUGGAGGGGGAUAACUACUGGAAACGGUAGCUAAUACCGCAUACCAUCAGAUGUGCCCAGGUGGGAUUAGCUAGUAGGUGGGGUAACGGCUCACCUAGGCGACGGUCCCUAGCUGGUCUUAGAGGAUGACCAGCCACCCUGGAAGUGAGACAGGGUCCAGACUCCUACGGGAGGCAGCAGUGGGGAAUAUUGCACAAUGGGCGCAAGCCUGAUGCAGCCAUGCAGCGUGUGUGAAGAAGGCCUUCGGGUUGUAAAGUAAUUUCAGAGGGGAGGCGUUACCCGCAGAAGAAGCACCGGCUAACUCCGUGCCAGCAGCCGCGGUAAUUC
rnacentral:rRNA from 1 species